UGCUCAGCUUCAGCAGAUCUGUAAAAUUUUGAAUGCGCACAUGGAUUCAUUGCAGUGGAUUGACCAGAACUCAGCCGUGUUGCAGAGGAAGGUAGAAGAGGUGACAAAGGUUUGCGAGAGCCGCCGCAAGGAGCAAGAGCGCAGUUUUCGGAUCACGUUUGAUUGAAUGACUCAAAGUUUAAAGGAUUAAUCUGAAGUCUCCACAGAAAACAGAGGUUGUUGGGGAUGUAGGUCUCAAAUUAUGAUCUGGGCUUGUUUCUUUUCUUGCAAUAAAAUUUGUUGUUUGUUCCAAAGGCAGUCUUUGCAGUGUCUGACUGGAAUUCACCCACUCCAGUCUGAGAGACUGCAUGAAGUUUGUGCAGAAAGUAUGUGCUCUUCGUCUCUGUUCUUUAUAACUGCAUGCAGACUGGUGAGAUAUACAGUAAAUGCUGCCCAGUACUUAAACGUAACUUGAAUGUGUUCAAUUGGGACUUCAUAAGCUUUUAUUCAGGUCUUUACAGAGAUGGUUUAAUGAAGAGCUGUCCUCAGAAGGAGCUGCAGCAGUCUGAGAGACUCAAAUUCUUCACAUUGCUAGCUGGAGUUUGUGUUUAAAUUAGGUAUGCUUCCACUUGUGAAAGUGGGCCUUGUUUUCUGUACUUUUGGCAAUAAACUGCUUUUGUGCUGGUACCUG